AUUGAACGCUGGCGGCAGGCUUAACACAUGCAAGUCGAGCGGAGAGAGGUAGCUUGCUACUGAUCUUAGCGGCGGACGGGUGAGUAAUGCUUAGGAAUCUGCCUAUUAGUGGGGGACAACAUUUCGAAAGGAAUGCUAAUACCGCAUACGUCCUACGGGAGAAAGCAGGGGAUCUUCGGACCUCGCGCUAAUAGAUGAGCCUAAGUCGGAUUAGCUAGUUGGUGGGGUAAAGGCCUACCAAGGCGACGAUCUGUAGGGGGUCUGAGAGGAUGAUCCGCCACACUAGGACUGAGAAACGGCCCAGACUCCUACGGGAGGCAGCAGUGGGGAAUAUUGGACAAUGGGCGGAAGCCUGAUCCAGCCAUGCAGCGUGUGUGAAGAAGGCCUUAUGGUUGUAAAGCACUUUAAGCGAGGAGGAGGCUACUUUAGUUAAUACCUAGAGAUAGUGGACGUUACUCGCAGAAUAAGCACCGGCUAACUCUGUGCCAGCAGCCGCCGUAAAAC
rnacentral:rRNA from 1 species